GAUACCCUGGUAGCCACGCUGUAACGAUGUGCACUAGGUGUAGGCUCGAUACGGGUCUGUUCCCGUAUGUACCGCGUUUAAUGGCACCGCCUGUGGAGUAUGCUCGCAAGGUUGAAACUCAAAGGAAUUUACGGGGGCCCGCACAAGCGGUGGAGCAUGUGGUCUAAUUCCGAUGAUACGCGAGGUACCUUACCAGGGCUUGACAUAUGCAGGGAGGUCUGAGAGAUCAGUCUGCCUCGCAAGAGGCCUGCAUACAGGUGCUGCAUGGCUGUCGUCAGUUCGUGCUGUGAAGUGUUGGGUUAAGUCCCGCAACGAGCGCAACCCCUUCUGUCUGUUGCCAGCACGUAAAGGUGGGGACUCAGACGGCACUGCCGGUGACAAACCGGAGUAAGGUGGGGACGACGUCAAGUCAUCAUGGCCCUUAUGUCCUGGGCUACACACGUGCUACAAUGGCCGGAACAGAGCGCAGCGAAACCGCGAGGUGGAGCAAAUCGCAGAAUCCUGGUCACAGUACGGAUUGGAGUCUGAACCCGACUUCAUGAAGUUGAAUCGCU
rnacentral:rRNA from 1 species